UACGUAGGGGGCAAGCGUUGUCCGGAAUCAUUGGGCGUAAAGCGCGCGUAGGCGGCCCGGUAAGUCCGCUGUAAAAGUCCAGGGCUCAACCCUGGAAAGCCGGUGGAUACUGUCGGGCUAGAGUCCGGAAGAGGCGAGUGGAAUUCCUGGUGUAGCGGUGAAAUGCGCAGAUAUCUGGAGGAACACCGGUGGCGAAGGCGGCAUCCUGGACCAACACUGACACUGAGGAGCGAAAGCCAGGGGAGCAAACGGG
rnacentral:rRNA from 1 species